UACGGAGGGGGUUAGCGUUGUUCGGAAUUACUGGGCGUAAAGCGCGCGUAGGCGGAUUAGAAAGUUGGGGGUGUAAUCCCGGGGCUCAACCUCGGAACUGCCUCCAAAACUCCUGGUCUUGAGUUCGAGAGAGGUGAGUGGAAUUCCGAGUGUAGAGGUGAAAUUCGUAGAUAUUCGGAGGAACACCAGUGGCGAAGGCGGCUCACUGGCUCGAUACUGACGCUGAGGUGCGAAAGUGUGGGGAGCAAACAGG
rnacentral:rRNA from 1 species